rnacentral:rRNA from 1 species
CAGUUAUCGUUUAUUUGAUAGUACCUUACUACUUGGAUACCUGUGGUAAUUCUAGAGCUAAUACAUGCUAAAAACCCCGACUCACGAAGGGGUGUAUUUAUUAGAUAAAAAACCAAUGCCCUCCGGGGCUCUUUGGUGAUUCAUAAUAACUCAACGAAUCGCAUGGCCUUGCGCCGGCGAUGGUUCAUUCAAAUUUCUGCCCUAUCAACUUUCGAUGGUAGGAUCGAGGCCUACCAUGGUUUCUACGGGUAACGGGGAAUUAGGGUUCGAUUCCGGAGAGGGAGCCUGAGAAACGGCUACCACAUCCAAGGAAGGCAGCAGGCGCGCAAAUUACCCAAUCCUAAUUCAGGGAGGUAGUGACAAUAAAUACUAAUUAGGAGCUCUUUUGGGCUUCUAAAUUGGAAUGAGUACAAUUUAAAUACCUUAACGAGGAACAAUUGGAGGGCAAGUCUGGUGCCAGCAGCCGCGGUAAUUCCAGCUCCAAUAGCGUAUAUUAAAGUUGUUGCAGUUAAAAAGCUCGUAGUUGAAACUUGGGUCUGGCUGACCGGUCCGCCUCACCGCGUGUACUGGCUCCGCCGGGCCUUUCCUUCUGGGGAGUCGCAUGCCCUUAGCUGGGUGUGUUGAGGAUCCAGGACUUUUACUUUGAAAAAAUUAGAGUGUUCAAAGCAGGCAUAUGCUCGAAUACAUUAGCAUGGAAUAAUAGAAUAGGACGUGCGGUUCUAUUUUGUUGGUUUCUAGGACCGCCGUAAUGA